UCCCCACUACUUUGCCACAAUUAGACAUGGACUCUAAACAUGACUAAAUGUCACGUAAAAAAUAUGCGGGUACUUUAAAAAUACUAGAGGAACUUUAAGCGCCAUAUUAUAUUGGUACCCUCAAAAUAAGAUUGUUCCUUCUGCAUAAUCAAAUUCGAAGUAACGAAAGAUUUCACAUAAUCAUCAUGUUUGAGUUGUGGCAUUGUCUCAUCAUUUUAUCUGCAGCCAUUGUUACCUUUACAUUACUGUUAGUUGGGUUCAUCGUAAUACCGUAUUGCCGCCGCUCUAGCAGCAGGUCCCAUGUGACAUGGGUAUGGGACCGCUCCAGUACUUCAUUCCUCAGUAAUGAUGUGUGCACGGCCUCCAUCCCACCCAUGCCCCCGUACUUGGUGACCGACUUCGCCUACAACAGCUACUCUACCUCUAUUUGAAAGUCUUUCUACUUAAAUUUUUCAUAUGUAUUGUUUCAUAUGUUUAUUUUACUGGUUAAAAUAUGUAUGAAUAUAAGAAAUUUAUUAUUUUCAUUAAUUUUAUGAAUAAAACAAUACAAGUUUA